GGCAGAAUGUGAGUUUAGCCGCGAACGGCUGAGUACAACAUAAGAAUCUACCUCUUAGUGGGGAAUACCCCGUCGAAAGACGGGCUAAUACCGCAUACGACUUACGAGUGAAAGGGCAUAACAGCUCGCUAAGAGAGGAGCUUAUUUCUCAUCAGGUAGUUGGUAGGGUAAUGGCCUACCAAGCCUACGACGAGUAGGGGGUGUGAGAGCACGACCCCCCAGAAUGGGACUGAGACACGGCCCAUACACCUACGGGUGGCAGCAACUGGGAAUCGUACGCAAUGGGCGAAAGCCUGACGUCGCGACGCCGCGUGAGGGAUGAAGGCCUUCGGGUCGUAAACCUCUUUUGCCAUGUUGGAGACAACAUGGAGAAUAAGUACCCGCUAAUCUCGUGCCAGCAGCUGCUGUAAUACGAGAGGUACAAGCGUUGCCCGGAUUUACUGGGCGUAAAGUGUUCCGUAGGCGUUUUUGUAAGUUGUUUUUCAAAGCUCGGGGCUCAACCUCGAAAAGGGAGGCAAUACUGCAAGGAUUGAAAUAUUCGGGGGCUACUGGAACUAUCGGUGUAGGGGUGAAAUCCGUUGAUAUCGAUAGGAACUCCAAGGGCGAAGGCAGGUAGCUACGAAUUAUUUGACGCUGAGGGACGACAGCUAGGGGAGUGAAAGGGAUUAGAGACCCCUGUAAUCCUAGCCGUAAACCAUGCUCGCUAGUCUCCCGGAGUAAUCUGGGGGACGUAAGCUAACGCGUGAAGCGAGCCGCCUGGGGAGUACGGCCCAAGGCUAAAACUCAAAGGAAUUGACGGGGACCUGCACAACCAGUGGAUUAUGUGGUUUAAUUCGAGACGAACCGUAGGACCUUACCCGGGUUUGACAUGCUACCGUUUAGUCAACCAGAAACGGAUGAUGAUCUAUUUAUUUAGAUGGUAGCACAGGUGUUGCAUGGCUGUCGUCAGCUCGUGCCGUGGGGUGUUCCCUUCAGUGGGGUAACGAGCGCAACCCCUGUCGUAUGUUGAAUAUUCAUACGAGACUACUUGCAUUUAUGCGAGAGGAAGCGGGGACGACGUCAAGUCAGCAUGGCCCUUAUGUCCGGGGCGACACACAUAAUACAAUGGAGCCGACUAUGGGUUGCCAAGCCGUAAGGCGGAGCUAAUCCCAUCAAACGGCUUCUCAGUUGGGAUUGAGGGCUGCAACUCGCCCUCAUGAACGCGGAAUUGGUAGUAAUCGGGGGUCAGCUAAACCCCGGUGAAUACGUUCUCGGGUCUUGUACACACCGCCCGUCAAGUCAGUAAAGUUAGGAGCACCCGAAUGACAAGUGAUUGUCAGAAGGUGAUACUAGCGAUGAGGAUUAAGU
rnacentral:rRNA from 1 species